GGCCGCCUGGCGAAAUGGCAUCGCGUCUGACUACGAUGCAUGUCAUGAAAUCAGCUAAUCAGGAGAUUGCAGGUUCGACCCCUGCGGUGGUCA
rnacentral:tRNA from 1 species